AGCUUUAAUAAUUUAAAAAAAAAUAAUGAUUUUGUAAAUCAUAAAUAUCUCAAAGAUUUAAAGU
rnacentral:tRNA from 1 species